rnacentral:rRNA from 1 species
AACGAACGCUGGCGGCAGGCUUAACACAUGCAAGUCGAGCGCCCCGCCAGGGGAGCGGCAGACGGGUGCGUAACGCGUGGGAACGUACCUUUUGGUUCGGAACAACUCCGGGAAACUGGAGCUAAUACCGGAUAAGCCCUAACGGGGAAAGAUUUAUCGCCGAAAGAUCGGCCCGCGUCUGAUUAGCUAGUUGGUGAGGUAACGGCUCACCAAGGCGACGAUCAGUAGCUGGUCUGAGAGGAUGAUCAGCCACACUGGGACUGAGACACGGCCCAGACUCCUACGGGAGGCAGCAGUGGGGAAUAUUGGACAAUGGGCGCAAGCCUGAUCCAGCCAUGCCGCGUGAGUGAUGAAGGCCUUAGGGUUGUAAAGCUCUUUUGUCCGGGAAGAUAAUGACUGUACCGGAAGAAUAAGCCCCGGCUAACUUCGUG